UUCUCAACUGAAUUUCGCCUGGAGAUAAAUCAAGGCCUUUGACAUUGGAUUACAGCGGCUGCUUCUGUCAAAUACCAGUUGAAUAUCACAGUAAAAGAAACCCGUGCAGCCAGUCGACGAUCCCUACGGCAUCAACGCUGAAGUGGUUUUUGGCGAUAUCUCCAUCCCGCUAGUGGACUUGUAUCCUGGACUCAACACUUCACAAGCUACAACACAUCCAGUUCCAGAAACAGGGGAGCAGGGUUCAGUUGAACCUGAGAAAUGAAUGCAUAACAUGUGUCGGUGAAAGUUCUGUCUGAAGAUUUGGUAUUUCCACCAAGACCUUACACUGACAUUGGAAUAUAGCUAUAUAUGAUUUUAUUAUUAUUAUUGUGUAAACAUUAAUGAUACAGUAUUGCUGGUGUCAGACGGGCAUGGUGACAGACGCACAUCUCUGUCCUCCAUGCCGCUA